rnacentral:rRNA from 1 species
AGCGAACGCUGGCGGCAGGCCUAACACAUGCAAGUCGAACGGACCCUUCGGGGUUAGUGGCGGACGGGUGAGUAACACGUGGGAACGUGCCUUUUGGUUCGGAACAACUCAGGGAAACUUGAGCUAAUACCGAAUGUGCCCUUCGGGGGAAAGAUUUAUCGCCAUUAGAGCGGCCCGCGUCUGAUUAGCUUGUUGGUGAGGUAAUGGCUCACCAAGGCGACGAUCAGUAGCUGGUCUGAGAGGAUGAUCAGCCACAUUGGGACUGAGACGCGGCCCAAACUCCUACGGGAGGCAGCAGAGGGGAAUCUUGCGCAAUGGGCGAAAGCCUGACGCAGCCAUGCCGCGUGAAUGAUGAAGGUCUUAGGAUUGUAAAAUUCUUUCACCGGGGACGAUAAUGACGGUACCCGGAGAAGAAGCCCCGGCUAACUUCGUGCCAGCCGCCGCGGUAACAC